CCGGGGUCAGCGUCUCGGGGCCCCCGCGGGACUCGGCGUCAGGGGUGUCGGAACGAGUUAGGACGGCGGCUGGGCCGGUGCCUGGAGACGCGCGGGGUGAGCCCGGGGUUCACGGCGCCGGCCGCGCAGGCUUGACUGCGCGCCGGGCGGGGCGGCUGCCCGACGUGCGCGGCCAGCCUCACCCGGGCGAGGGAGGGCCGGCCCCCCGCGCGGGUUCCGACGGCGGAGCUGCGGCCCUCGCGGAGGAACCUGGGCUCUGCUUCGAAGCCAAAGCGGCUGAGGGGGCGCAGGGCCGCUGUCCGCCCAGAGGCCUUGCGCCCCCGGAGAGCUACCAGCUCCACGCGGCCUCAGAACCAAACUUGCCAACUUCGUGCUCCCGUGGAAAUGGAGUUCCUACUCUAAAGUAAAAGCAACCUGGGUUUGGCAAUGCGUGCCUGGUAUUUUUAGAAACCCUGUCAACUGAUUGGUUAUUCUUUCGACCUUAGGGAUCCAGCCUUCCGACUUGGUUUCUGCUGGAAUCGGAUUUUCCCCAGCGGGCUCCAUUUACCGUAAUGGGUUGAGGUUAUGGUUUUUGGAGGAGGGCCACAGAGGUGAAGUAACAUUCUCAUCACAUCAUAUCAAGGGUGGGAAAAAUGCAGCACUAAGAAAUUAUGCUGUAUAAAGAGUACAUACAAAGAUAGAAUGAGGCCAAGAAACACAUCGACAACAAGACAAUAAUAGUAGGGGACUUUAACACCUCCCUCACUGAAAUGGACAGAUCAUCUAAGCAAAAAAUCAACAAGGAAAUAAAGACUUUGAAUGACACACUGGACCAGAUGGACUUCACAGAUAUAUUCAGAAUAUUCCAUCCCAAAGCAAUAGAAUACACAUUCUUCUCUAGUGCCCAUGGAACAUUCUGCAGAAUAGAUCACAUCCUAGGUCAGAAAUCAGAUCUCAACUGAUACCAAAAGAUUGGGAUCAUUCCCUGCCUAUUUUCGGACCACAGUGCUUUGAAACUAGAACUCAAUCACAAGAGGAAAGUCGGAAAGAACUCAAAUACAUGGAGGCUAAAAAGCAUCCUACUAAAGAAUGAAUGGGUCAACC